GAGUUAUCACUUGACUAGACGGACUCGGGGUCUGAGUGGCUGUGCUAUGGGUGAUAAGCGGGGAGCUCGGCUCGCUGUCGAACGAAAAAUAUCCACUCGACGACCUGGAGAGGGUUCGGAACACAGGCGACCUUGUCUGGUGGUGAGCCUAGCCUUAACUGUUAUCCACAUCACCAAACGCUUGACCUGCAGACACAACCCCCAGACCUGACUAAAGCGGAGUAUCCACAUAACCCUAAUCCAUGCAGGUGCCCCUGUGGACAAAGAAAGCUCUAUAAAGACAUGGGUGGUUUGGAAGAAGUCAAGCGGCCUAUAAAGAGCCUGGACCUCAGGUUACUUGGAAUGCCGAUUGCGCACCAGGACUCCUCACUGGACCUCAGUCCCCAGUCACACUAAAGCUCUUGCAGAUGAAUGGAAAUAAAAUCCAUAGAUCCACAUUACAAAAUUCAAACAGGUGGACCAACUAUAUAUUAAUGCCCAUGGAAUGGGAUGUUCAACAAGCACAUAUAAGUAUGAUGGUCAGGUUUUCAGUUUUGUCCAUAUAUGUCCGUAUAAUAUAAAGUUCACUAACUGUAUAAAUUGCCUUUCUGAAUAAUGUUACAUAGAAAACUGUACAUUCCAAAAUAAGGUUGUAGCAGUUUUAAAGGCUUCAGCAUGACCACAGUGCAUGUAAAACCAGUUUUUCUAUUUUGUUCAAGUCUUUGCUGAUAACUCAUCUCCUUCACCUGCUUAAAAGCUUAAAUUAGCUCAUUAGCCAGUGACUUUGAUGCAUUAUAACAAGGAAAAAUGUCAAUAUGAAAAACACAGGGUUUCUGCAGAAUUUGCAAUGACUUAUGAGGCUCUAACUCAUAUCCUGUGCUGCUACUUAUCAGCUCCAAGUAACAGCUGAUACAAUAUAAAAAGUACAGUCAUUGUUUUAUGCUUGACAUUCAGGUACUUUUAAAUGCUGAGUAGCCUCUAAUGACUGUCUAGUCUAUGUGACUAGACUUGAUAUUUUGAAGAGGUUUAAUAUUGAUCCCAGAGCAGGGAUUAUCUGCAAGAGGCCAAGCAAAAGCCAAACCUGAGGCAAAGCGAAAAGAGGCAAAGCAAAUGCUGAAUAAAAGCCAGGACUGUGGCCAGUUCCUGCUUGGAUUAAAAAAGAAAAACCUGCAGGUCCUCUGCAGAGACAACUGGACAUCCUUAUCUUGAGGGUUUCUUCACUAAAUCUUAUAAAUUCUAGAUAUUUUAUUAAGUGUAAUCUUAGAAUCAGUGAGAGAGAAUUACAACACCGUAAUCCCACCCACCCUACUGGUCUGCUUGCCACCACCAAAAAGGGCAGUUAAUGGAAUUGCUCAAUAUUCUCUCAAAGCAGAAACUGGCAAGACCAGACCUGCUCAUCUACAAAGUAAGACUCAUCACCAAACUCAGGGUGUACUAGGAAGACUGGAAAAGAUCCAAACACAAAAUUUGGAUUUGUAUCAAAAUACAACUGUAGAGAGGACCGGAGGGCCAGGUGUUUGGCUGCAGGGCGAAUCUCUGAGCCUGUGUUACACUGGACAUCAUGAGUUGCAGUGACUCAUUAAAGACAACAGAUGAGGAGCUGAAGAGGUCUCAAGAUGUCUCUUAACUGAGAAGGAUAACAAGCAGCACUCUGUUUGACGCUGCAAUAAAAAAUUAAUAUUGAUAAUCUGAGCUUUAUUUAAAUCAUCUGUUUUGGGGAUAAAUAGCCUCUGUUUCUUUUUCCAGCUUUAGAUUUAAGAAGUAUGUUCAUGAUCAGCAUGUGUG